rnacentral:snoRNA from 1 species
UUAUCAGUCCAUCUUGGCGAAGCUAAUGAGUCUUUGGGCUAUGAUUAGCUUUGAAUGCUAAUGGACUGACAUCAAAUAAUUUUUAUCUAAGCCGACUUUUGCAGAUAGUUAGUGUAAUAUCUACCUGCAGACCGGUUUAGAUAAAACAUAC